rnacentral:rRNA from 1 species
GGGAGGUAGUGACAAUAAAUAACAACACAGGGCUCUUUUGGGUCUUGUUAUUGGAAUGAGUACGAUUUAAAUCUCCUAACGAGGAACAAUUGGAGGGCAAGUCUGGUGCCAGCAGCCGCGGUAAUUCCAGCUCCAAUAGCGUAUAUUAAAGUUGUUGCAGUUAAAAAGCUCGUAGUUGAAUUUCAGGCCUGGCUGGACGGUCCGCCCUUCGGGUGAGUACUGUCUGUGGUCGGGUCCUACCUUCUGGCGAAGCGUCAUGGCCUUAACCGGCCGUGGCGGGGAACCAGGACUUUUGCUGUGAAAAAAUUAGAGUGUUCAAAGCAGGCAAUCGCUUGGAUACAUUAGCAUGGAAUAAUGGAAUAGGACAAUGGUUCUAUUUGUUGGUUUCUAGGACCGUUGUAAUGAUUAAUAGGGAUAGUUGGG